UCCUAAAAUUUUGAAUGUUUCGAAAAUUGUUUCAUCAUUUUUCUGAAUUUCUGUGAGCCAUGAGUUGACCCCUAGGGUCGACCCAAGGGUAAACUUGUAAUUCUUGGCUAAAUCCCACGGGCUCUUUCUUUUUGUUGAAAAUUCGUCCUUGAGCCGACCCAUUCUUCCAUCUUCUUCCUUCCUCCAAGCCAUAGGUUCCCUUCUCUUCUUCUCCAAACCCAAGUCCUUCCCCCAAGACUCUUCUCCCAUCGCCCCUUACACCUCAAAUCGACCUUUAGGAAUCAAGUUCUUCCCCUUCUCCUCCCUUAUUUGGAGCGGUUUGAGCGUGCCCUAGUUCCACCCGUCUCUUCCAAAUCAGGGUAUCACUCCUCCAAAAAUCCCUAUUCUUCCACUAGAAACUCUUCAUCUCACCCUCACAUUUGCUCUCCCAAGCUCCGUGCUAGUCUCGUCAGUGGAAAUGGCUCCGAAAAUGAAGCUCCCACAAAGAAGAAAAUUGGUUCGUGGAUUGGAAGAAGGUGUGCGUCGGAAGAGGCAGGCAACCGAGACUACGUCAGCUUCAAUCCCUGCUCCGGCAUCUGCUCC
rnacentral:lncRNA from 1 species